CUGGAGUCAGCCUCACACUAAUCUCACACAGACAUGGGUGUGCCCACUAAGCUCCUGGGGUUGCUGCGGCUGUUGCUUACAGAUGCCAGAUGUGACAUCCAGAUGAUUCAGUCUCCAGCCUCCCUGGCUGUAUCUGUGGGAAAAAGUGUCACUAUGACAUGUCAAGCAAGUGAGAACCGUUUAGCAUGGCAUCAGCAGAAACCAGGGGAAUCUCCUCAGCUCCUGAUCUAUGAUGCAACAAACUUGCAAGAUGGUGUCAUUUCAAGAUUCAGUGGCAGUGGAUCUGGCACACAGUUUUCUCUCAAGAUGAGCAACCUGCAGCUUGAAUAAUUUGCAAGCUAUUUCUGUCAAUAUCAUAGUAAUAUUCCUCCCACAGUGUUUCAAAGCAUGACAUAAACCACCCAGGGAAGCAGAUGUGAGAGCACAGAAUGCCCCAAUUGUUCCUCAUAAUGUCUUCAGUUGUUCAGCUGUUGAAAGCGUUUCUCUUCACCAGCACUUAAAUGUCAAUGUGAUGAUUUUAUAAAGAAGUCAGAGAAACUUUCUGUCUUCAAUCCCUGUCCUUUUCCCUGGCCUAGUAUCAAAAAGGGUUUGA